GCGCGAAAACUUUACAAUGCGGGAAACCGUGAUAAGGGAACUCCGAGUGUCCGUAAAUGCGGACUGUCCGUAUGUUUAAAAAGCAUGCGAAGAAAGGGCCGGGCAAGACCGGUGCCAGCCGCCGCGGUAAUACCGGCGGCUCGAGUGGUGGCCACUAUUACUGGGCUUAAAGCGUUCGUAGCUGGGUUGUUUAGUCUCUUGGGAAAUCUACCGGCUUAACCGAUAGGCGUCCAAGGGAUACUGGCAAUCUAGGGACCGGGAGAGGUGAGGGGUACUUCAGGGGGUAGGA
rnacentral:rRNA from 1 species